UACAGAGGGUGCUAGCGUUGUUCGGAAUCAUUGGGCGUAAAGGGCGUGUAGGCGGUUUGUUAAGUCAUGUGUGAAAUCCCUCGGCUCAACCGGGGAACGACGCAUGAAACUGGCAGCUAGAGUACCAAAGAGGGGGUGGAAGUCCCGGUGUAGCGGUGAAAUGCGUAGAUAUCGGGAGGAACACCUGUGGCGAAGGCGGCCCCCUGGUUGGAUACUGACGCUGAUACGCGAAAGCGUGGGGAGCAACA
rnacentral:rRNA from 1 species